rnacentral:rRNA from 1 species
AUUAGAUACCCUGGGUAGUCCACGCAGUAAACGAUGAAUGCCGGCUGUCCGGGGCGAGUGGGUCCUGGGCGGCGAAGCGAAAGCGUUAAGCAUUCCACCUGGGGAGUACGCCGGCAACGGUGAAACUCAAAGGAAUUGACGGGGGCCCGCACAAGCGGAGGAACAUGUGGUUUAAUUCGAUGAUACGCGAGGAACCUUACCCGGGCUCAAACGGCAAAGGACAGGGAAAGAGACUUCCCCUCCUACGGGUCUUUGCCGAGGUGCUGCAUGGUUGUCGUCAGCUCGUGCCGUGAGGUGUCGGCUUAAGUGCCAUAACGAGCGCAACCCCUGCCGGCAGUUGCUAACGGGUAAAGCCGAGGACUCUGCCGGGACUGCCGGCGCAAGCCGCGAGGAAGGCGGGGAUGACGUCAAAUCAGCACGGCCCUUACGUCCGGGGCGACACACGUGUUACAAUGGGUGGCACAGAGGGAAGCCAGGUGGCGACACCGAGCGGAACCCGAAAUCCACUCUCAGUUCGGAUCGGAGUCUGCAACCCGACUCCGUGAAGCUGGAUUCGCUAGUAAUCGCGCAUCAGCCAUGGCGCGGUGAAUACGUUCCCGGGCCUUGUACACACCGCCCGUCAAGCCAUGGGAGCCGAGGGCGCUUGAAGUGCGUCGCCGCGAGGCGCGCCCUAGAGCGAAAUCGGUGACUGGGGCUAAGUCGUAACAAGGUACC